rnacentral:rRNA from 1 species
GAUGAACGCUGGCGGCGUGCCUAACACAUGCAAGUCGAGCGAACAGACGGGAAUGCUUGGCUCCUCUGAGGUUAGCGUGGGGGGCGUGAGUAACACGUGUGUAACUUUCCUAUUAGACUGGGAUUACUUCGGGAAAACGUAGCCAAAACCGGCAAAUAUCUAGCUUGGCAUGACGCGAUAGUGACAGACGGUUCUGCUGUCACUUAUCGAUGGACGCGUGGUGUAUUAGCUAGUUGGCGGGGUAACGGCUCACCAAGGCGACGAUACGUAGCAGACCUGAGAGGGUGAUCAGCCACACUGGAACUGAGACACGGCCCAGACUCCUACGGGAGGCAGCAGUGGGGAAUCUUGCGCAAUGGACGAAAGUCUGACGCAGCAAUACCGCGUGAGUGAAGAAGGUUUUCGGAUCGUAAAGCUCUGUUGUAAGGAAAGAAAAAGAGCGUUUUAAACCGAACGUAUUUUGACGGUACCUAACGAAUAAGCAACGGCUAACUACGUG